ACGAACGCUGGCGGCGUGCCUAAUACAUGCAAGUAGAACGCUGAAGAGAGGAGCUUGCUCUUCUUGGAUGAGUUGCGAACGGGUGAGUAACGCGUAGGUAACCUGCCUUGUAGCGGGGGAUAACUAUUGGAAACGAUAGCUAAUACCGCAUAACAAUGGAUGACCCAUGUCAUUUAUUUGAAAGGGGCAAAUGCUCCACUACAAGAUGGACCUGCGUUGUAUUAGCUAGUAGGUGAGGUAACGGCUCACCUAGGCGACGAUACAUAGCCGACCUGAGAGGGUGAUCGGCCACACUGGGACUGAGACACGGCCCAGACUCCUACGGGAGGCAGCAGUAGGGAAUCUUCGGCAAUGGGGGCAACCCUGACCGAGCAACGCCGCGUGAGUGAAGAAGGUUUUCGGAUCGUAAAGCUCUGUUGUAAGUCAAGAACGAGUGUGAGAGUGGAAAGUUCACACUGUGACGGUAGCUUACCAGAAAGAGACGGCUAACUACGUG
rnacentral:rRNA from 1 species